UCGAAACCUGCCCAGCANAGCGACCCUUGAACAUGUCAACCCCGUGGCCGUUGGGGCGUUGCUCGGUGCCUAGUGUGCCGGCCCGUCCCUCUCCCAAGYYGGGAGAGYGCUCACUUAUGGGCUGUUUCCCUGGCAAAACAACGAACCCCGGCGCGUAAUGCKUCAAGGAAUACAAACAUUAUGUGUGUACUCUCCCGUCGCCCGGUUAGCCGGGUGUUGGAGCGGUGCCAUGUCUUAACAACA
rnacentral:rRNA from 1 species